rnacentral:rRNA from 1 species
AAGUCGUAACAAGGUUUCCGUAGGUGAACCUGCGGAAGGAUCAUUAUUGAUUGUGAAUCGUUGCCUUCAGUGCUGGCCCCGGCAAGUGCACGUUGGUGACUUUCAUCCAAUACCCUUGUGAACCUCUGGCCUCUUGCUAGCUUCGGCUGGCAGAGGAUUUUUACACACACUCGAAUGUAAUGAAACCUAUUGUUGUGCGCAAGCACUAAUGUACAACUUUCAACAACGGAUCUCUUGGCUCUCGCAUCGAUGAAGAACGCAGCGAAAUGCGAUAAGUAAUGUGAAUUGCAGAAUUCAGUGAAUCAUCGAAUCUUUGAACGCACCUUGCACCCUUUGGCAUUCCGAAGGGUAUGCUCGUUUGAGUGUCAUUGUACUCUCACACUCUCCAAUCCUCUGGAUCCGGGGAGUGGUGGACUUGGGCGUCUGCUGCUUGACUGUGGCUCGCUUUAAAUGGAUUAGUGCAACUCUUGGUUGGACAUAGUACGGCGUGAUAAGUGUCUUCGCCGGCACCUCGGAAGAGGGUGACUGAUUGAGAGCUCUGUGCUUCAAACUGUCUUCGGACAAUCUCUGACAACUUGACCUC